UACGUAGGUGCCAAGCGUUGUCCGGAUUUACUGGGCGUAAAGAGCGCGCAGGCGGUCGUUCAAGUCGAGUGUGAAAGCCCCCGGCUCAACUGGGGAGGGUCAUUCGAUACUGAUCGACUCGAAGGCAGGAGAGGGAAGUGGAAUUCCCGGUGUAGUGGUGAAAUGCGUAGAUAUCGGAAGGAACACCAGUGGCGAAGGCGACUUCCUGGCCUGUUCUUGACGCUGAGGCGCGAAAGCUAGGGGAGCAAACGGG
rnacentral:rRNA from 1 species